UACGAAGGGGGCUAGCGUUGUUCGGAAUUACUGGGCGUAAAGCGCGCGCAGGCGGUCUUCCAAGUCAGUGGUGAAAGCCCGGGGCUCAACCCCGGAAUAGCCUUUGAGACUGCAUCGCUAGAAUUGUGGAGAGGUAAGUGGAAUUCCGAGUGUAGAGGUGAAAUUCGUAGAUAUUCGGAAGAACACCAGUGGCGAAGGCGACUUACUGGACACAUAUUGACGCUGAGGUGCGAAAGCGUGGGGAGCAAACAGG
rnacentral:rRNA from 1 species